rnacentral:rRNA from 1 species
AGUGAACGCUGGCGGCAGGCCUAACACAUGCCAGUCGAGCGGCAGCGCGGGGGCAACCCUGGCGGCGAGCGGCGGACGGGUGAGGAAUUCGUCGGAAUCUGCCUUUUUGUGGGGGAUAACGUAGGGAAACUUACGCUAAUACCGCAUACGUCCUACGGGAGAAAGUGGGGGACCGCAAGGCCUCACGCAGAAAGAUGAGCCGACGACCGAUUAGCUAGUUGGUGGGGUAAAGGUCCACCAAGGCGACGAUCGGUAGCUGGUCUGAGAGGAUGAUCAGCCACACUGGGACUGAGACACGGCCCAGACUCCUACGGGAGGCAGCAGUGGGGAAUAUUGGACAAUGGGCGCAAGCCUGAUCCAGCCAUGCCGCGUGUGUGAAGAAGGCCUUCGGGUUGUAAAGCACUUUUGUCCGGAAAGAAAUCCCUGGAGCUAAUACCUUCGGGGGAUGACGGUACCGGAAGAAUAAGCACCGGCUAACUUCGUG